CCUACGGGGGGCAGCAGUGGGGAAUUUUGGACAAUGGGGGCAACCCUGAUCCAGCCAUGCCGCGUGAGUGAAGAAGGCCUUCGGGUUGUAAAGCUCUUUUGUCGGGGACGAAACGGUUUCACCUAAUACGUGAGACUACUGACGGUACCCGAAGAAUAAGCACCGGCUAACUACGUGCCAGCAGCCGCGGUAAUACGUAGGGUGCGAGCGUUAAUCGGAAUUACUGGGCGUAAAGCGUGCGCAGGCGGUUUUGUAAGCCAGAUGUGAAAUCCCCGGGCUCAACCUGGGAAUGGCAUUUGGGACUGCAAGGCUGGAGUAUGGCAGAGGGGACUAGAAUUCCUGGUGUAGCAGUGAAAUGCGUAGAUAUCAGGAGGAAUACCGAUGGCGAAGGCAGCUUCCUGGGCCAAUACUGACGCUCAUGCACGAAAGCGUGGGGAGCAAACAGGCUUAGAUACCCCAGUAGUC
rnacentral:rRNA from 1 species